AUAAAAGCAGGCUGCCUGAGACAGCAGUGGCAACCCGCUCCGGUGUCCUUCCAUGCUGUGGAGGCUCUGUUGUUUCGCUCUUUCUACUGCUUACUCUUCGGGUCCACACUGCUUUUAUGAGCUGUAACACUCACCCUGAAGGUUUGCAACUUGACUCCUGAAGCCAGCAAGACCACGAGCCCCAGGGAGGAACGAACAACUCCAGACGCGCUGCCUUAAGAGCUGUAACACUCACCGAGAAGGUCUGCAGCUUCACUCCUGAGCCAGCGAGGCCACGAACCCACCAGAAGGAAGAAACUCUGAACACAUCCGAACAUCAGAAGGAACAAACUCCAGACGUGCCACCUUAAGAGCUGUUAACACUCACCGCGAGGGUCCGCGGCUUCAUUUUUGAAGUCAGUGAGACCAAGAACCAACCAAUUCGGGACACAAUACCAACUCUUUCAUGCCAGGAGAAGCCUCCUUAAAAAAUUUCGGUGAUUAACAGGAACACAGAGGAGAACAAAGAAAAUUCAAGGAACUAAAUUCCUUCUCCACCUCAACCACCAGCAUUGAUACUCCAUCACUUAUGUACUGCAUCAAGCCGUCCUCAGAGGUGAGGAAGGUGCUGUCAAGACUAGAAGCAUGUGUCCCUCUCUCCAUUGCAAGAUGGGACAUAGAGAGGAGAAAAGUGGCAGACAGAAGGCUAAUCUCAACUGGAAACCAGAAGGCUAGAAAUCUUACUGAUGUGAUGUCCAGGGAUACAGAGCAUAUGAAGGAUGCAGAGAGUGGGUCAAAUGGAAGGAAUGUAGCAAAACAUGUAAACUUGAUUCUCUUGAUGACUAUUACGAAGGUAUAUGAAGAGGCAGGUGCCUUGGGAAGCUAGUGAAGCCAAAAUCCCAGAGCUUCUCGCUUGCGUAGACUCCUGUGAGGGCUGGGAAUUUCUGUCAUGGAAUGUUCCAGAUGAGGAGGGGAAGCCCAGCUGCACUCAGGACACACUUCUAUGUAAGCAAUUCUAGUACAUUGUGCAGAAAUAUCUAGAAACAAGGCACCCAAAUCUCCCAGCUUCCAAUAAUUUAUCAGAAUUUUUCUUCUGAUGGUGAGUAUUUACUCUUGUCCCCAAUUUUGUAUUUGUAGUUUUUAAAUUCAUUUUUCUAAAAGGGGCCUGUGUUAUAUACAGUUUUUAUGUGGCAGUUGAUCUUGCCGUCUCACUAAAGUUGGAAAGUCCUUUGGGACUGAGAUUGUGUUUUAUACUUUCUCUGUUUCCCAUGCCUGGGAUACAACUGAGCUCAUGGAGGAAGCCAAGCUAAUGUUCUGGCCUUCAGUUCCCUGCAUGGAUCAAAACUGGUUUGGGAGGUUGUAAAGCUUUUUGGGAAAUUACUUGUCCCUUGUGGUACUUGAGGAUUUAGAGUGCCAUACCAAACAUACUGCUUUAAAACUAAAAGAAGGUUUUUUUCUUUCUUAAUUGUCAGUAUUUGCAUUAUAAUAUUUAUUUUGAAAGAUUAUGUACUUUUAUUUCAAUUAAGGAUUAAAAGUGUGGUUCUUCUGAUUCCACAGGCAUUUAUUUUGAGUAAAUAUCUAUCUACAAGGUAAAUUAUAGAAAAAUAUCCAGGGGCUGGGCACAGUGGCUCCUGCCUAUAAUCCCAGCACUUUGGGAGGCCUAGGUAGGCAGAUCACUUGAAGUCAGGAGUUCACGCCCAGCCUGGCCAGCAUGGAGAAAACCUGUCUCUAUCAAAAAUUCAAAAAUUAGCCAGGCAUGGUGGGGGGGCGCCUGUAAUCCCAGCUACUAGAGACGCUGAGGCACGAGAAUCACCUGAACCCUGGAGUGAGCUGAGAUCACACCACUGCACUCCAGCCUGGGUGACAGAGUGAAACUGUGUCUCAAAAAAAAAAAAAAAAGGAAAAAUAUCCAGGAAGAUUCAUUUGUUAAGAAGUGAGAAAAAAUCAGGAAUUUUUAAUGAAGAUCUAAUUUGCACUUAGUUCUUUAUAAUGGAGACUUAUUGGCUUACAUCUCUUAUUUUAUAUAAUUUUACUUACCAGUAAUAAAAUACUGUAAAGCAUUGUUUUGAUUCCAAAGGAGUAUGAAGCUGUUUAGAAUCAAAUUUGGAAGAAAAAGGUACCGAGUCUGUCUCUGACGAUUCAUGAGAGGUUCAGUCUAUGCUAUUAAGAUGCAGUUCUGGAGCAGGUGUGAUGGCUCAUGCCUGUAAUCCCAGCACUUUGGGAAGGUGAGGCAGGAGAAUUGCUUAAGCCCAGGAGAUUGAGACUAGCUUGGAUAACAUGGCAAAACUCCAUCUCUACAAAAAAUACAAAAAUUAACCAGGCCUGGUGGCACACACCUGUAGUCCCACCUACUUGGGAGGUUGAGGUGGGAGGAUCACCUGAACACCUAGGGAGGUCAAGGCUACAGUGAGCUGUGAUCACAGCACUGCACUCCAGCUUGGGCAAUGUAGUGAGACCCUGUCUCAUAAAAAAAAAAAGAUCCUGUUAUGUAGAAGCAUUAGUAACUCAGUGUCAAUUAGAAGUUUAGAAGUUCAUGAGACUUAGACCUUGUGUAUACAAUCCACAAAGUCAAAGUCUCUGUAAACAUCAAUAAAUGCUGCAGACAAUCUUGUGUCAAUCAGUCCUGCUAGAUUUCUCCUGCUAGAUUUCUCUACCAGGAGAAACCUAGCAGAGAAAUCACAAGGAGAUAAGUGCCAUAGAAAUGAUCAGUAGUGAAAGAAUAGUGACUAAAAUUCUCUAUACUUCUCAUGCAGACUACCAAUACAAAAAGCACAUACUUGCAAUUUCUCAAGGAGGACGGUGGCAUAGAUUGUUGACUAAAAGCUAGAAAUUAAUAGAUCAAUAAUAUGGAAACUUGGAGAUAGAUUCCAUCCAGAUGGAGCCAUACACAACAAGAAACUGAUGAGAGAAAAAAAAUUGUAAGAAUUAGAAAACUCCAGUCAGAGAUAUGGUGGUAUGAAAUCUUCCCUGAUUGUUUUACUGGGGCUCAGUGUUUCCAUCAGCUGUUCCACAUGACAGCACAUUACUAAGAGAUAAUUUGAGAGGGCCUGGAUCAAAGAAGCUUGCGGCGAUUGCUGUUGGCAGUCUCUAUUGGCAUUUUGAAAUGACAGCCUCUCUGGUAACUGUCAAAAUCUGGGUUCAUGUCUACAUUGUUAUGUUUAAGCCAAAGGCAUUCUUAACCCAAACUUGGCCCUUGUCACCAUCUCUAUUACCAAGGCCUCCCACAAGUUUUAUUUUACUGAAGGGUUUGGAAAGGCAUUCACAAACUUAUAAAAACAUUAGUGUUUCAUAAGCUACCUGGUGGCUUCCAUAAUAUUUCCAUCUGCCAUCUACCUCUGUAACCUGGCCAAGGAAUUUUCACCUAAUUGCCUUUUCAAACAAGGAAUUCUAAAAAGCAAUGAUUGUAACUGUUUAAUAUACAACUGACAAAAAAGUAGCUUUCAUUUUUUGUCAUUCCACUGAUAUGAAAUGAGAAGUGCAUGUAUGUGUAUGUGUGUGUACGCAAGCAUACACACAUGUAUAUUUCUCAGGAACAAAGUCACUAAUGAAAUUUGACUACCUCCAUUCCACCCUGCUGUUUUCAAUUACACAAACUCAUUAGCUAAAUUAUAAGGACAAGAUAGCUCUAGAAUUGCUACAACAAUGAUUAAAGUGAAGGUGAAAGAUUAUUUUUUACCCAGCUCAAAAUAUUCACCUUGAAAUUGCUAGUGGGUAAGAGAAGCUAACUAUCAUACUAUACUCUUUUUUUUUUUGAGACAUUGUUUCACUCUGUCGCCCAGGCUAAUGUGCAGUGGUGCAAUCUCCGCUCACUGCAAGCCCCGCCUCCCGGGUUCACACCAUUCUCCUGCCUCAGUCUCCCUAGUAGCUGGGACUACAGGCGCCUGCCACCACGCCCAGCUAAUUUUUUGUGUAGAGAUGGGGUUUCACCGAGUUAGCCAUGAUGGUCUCGAUCUCCUGACCUCGUGAUCCACCCGCCUCGGCCUCCCAAAGUGCUGGGAUUACAGACAUGAGCCACCACGCCGGGCCAUAACACACUGUACUGUCUUAAAGGUUGCCCUGAAUAAAAACCAUAAUUUGAGGAGUCCACAUAACUAACUGGGGAAAGUGGUAUAUUUGGGAUGAGAAGCUUCCUCAAAUUUUGCUAUGUAGUGAUAAGAAUUUGGCUCUUUCUGGCCACCUUCUGUGUCAUCCUGUCAUUCGCCACCAUAAGUAAUUGGCUACUUUCCUCCACUGUCUCUCGUUAUUUUCCUCCUCCCACCUCUUUCCUUUUCCUAACUCAGUUCCCUUGCUUUGAUUUUCCUUUCCCCUCUGCCUUGUCCAUACCAUAGCAUUAACAUAAUCACCUAGGAUUCACACUGGGUUCUAGUGUUCAAGGUUCUGAAACGGCUGGGUCAGCCAUUUCUGAUCCUUUUCUAUCCCCAGACACAUAAGGGAUGUAGCAGGCAGUGCCAUCAAAAUCCAUGGCUCUCUACAGCACUAAUUUUAAGAGGUGGAGAAAGGCGUAUCAGAUUCUCCAACGAAAAAGAAACUUUAUAGGUUGAAAACUUUUAAAUGCUUCCAAUGAAGAUCUGAUCAGCAUGUUUCCCUACAUUCCUUCUAUGUCGUGUUGGCAUCACUGGAAAGAGCCUCGCCUAAUGUGGUGGCUUACGGACCAGCAUCACCAACGUCACUUGGGAACUUGUUAGAAAUGCAGAAUCUCAGGCCUCCACCCCAGACCUACUGAAUCAGAAUCUGUGUUUUAACUAGAUGUUCACAUUAAAGUUUGAGAAUCACUGUGCUCUCAUGGUAGGAAUAUAGUAAAACCCAACAUAUCUAAUGGUGUAAAUGGCAUUCAACUACUGAUAACAACAUAUGUAAUAGAAUAUUAUGAUCUUUAGAGUAAAGCAAGCUGCUUUUUAUUUCUAGCAUUUAAUAACUGAAUCUUCAACAAAUCAUUUAACCUUCCAGAACUUUGGUUAACUCAUGUAUAAAAUGGAGAUUAUAUCUAUCUUACAGAGACCAUGCACAUACAAUUUUUAGGAGAAUGCCAGGCUUAGAGUGUGCGUGCAAUAUUUUUUUACUACUUAUGGUUAAAACUAUUAUUAUUGUCAUCAUUAUUUAACCAACUUGGCUUUAUGUGCUAAAAAAAAAAAAAUAUAUUUAGAUCAAGUUACACAAGCAUGCUUCUCAUCUUCCCAAAGCUUACAACAUAAAAUGAGCAAUAACUAUAUGGGCAAUUGCACAAAAAAAGCAAUAUGCUGACAAGAUAACAUAUCCAUUCAAAUCUGUUUAUGCUGAAAUUUUAGUGAGCGUGAGCUUGGGUUUAUUAGUCUGACCCACUGAUUAAAUAGCAUUAUUUGAGUCAUAAACUACAAAAUCAGAAAACCGCUAAGAGAUGAUGAGAUUAAAACAUUCACCAAACAAGAAAUAUGUCAAGGAAGAGUCAAAAACUUUGGUACCAGAGAGGCUUUAUGCUGCUAGAUACACUUUUUUUAAAUCAAAAUACCAACUUAAUUGUUAAUGGAAUUUUUAAUUAUCUAUUACAAUCCGAACUGGCUAAAACACAUAGUUCCUUAUAAGCUCAAACCAAACAUUUAAUUAAACCUACCAAGCAUAAGUGGCAUAUUUUUUAUCCUGUCCCGUAAGCAGAAGUGUCAGAAAAGGCCUUUUACUCUUUGUUAAUUGAAAAAUAAAUAGGUUUCCAGGAGAACAGAGUCAUCUCUUUAGAACAAUUCAUCCACCAUGCAAUUGUACAAUUUAUAUCUAUUCUAGGUACCAACCCUUGCCAUUGCUUAGUCUGAUAAUUAGGAGUAGAAACUAGAAAUAAAUAAAAGCAUUAUUUUUAAAAGUAUUUCAAAGUCUUGUUUUUAGUACUUUGCAUUCAACCCCAAUCCCCAACAUAACUUCAUUAUGUUUAAAAAUAUAAUUUUAAGAAAAGAUUAUUUAUGUUGUUUUCAGAUAGUCCUUUUGAACCGUCUUACCAGUAAUUAAGAGAUAACUAUGAGGCCUUGCACACUGGCUCACACCUGUAAUCCCAGCACUUUGGGAGGCCAACGCAGGAAGAUCACUUGAGGUCAGGAGUUUAAGACCAGCCUGGCCAACAUGGCAAAACCCCAUCUCUACCAAAAAUACAAAAAUUGAGCAGGUGUGGUGGCGCAUGCAUGUAGUCCCAGCUACUGGUGAAGUUGAGGUGGGAGAGUCACUUGAACCCAGAAGGCAGAGGUUCCAGUGAGCUGAGAUCAUGCCGCAGCACACCAGCCUGGGUGAAAGAGUGAGACCCUGUCUCAAUUAAAAAAAAAGAAAAAAGAAAAAAGAAAGAAAGAAAGAGAGAGAGAGAGAUAACUGUGAGUCUUUUCCUAAAUUUCUUCAUCUGCCCCCUUUCUAAUUUGUUUGCAUUCAUUGAACUUAGAUGUCCAAAUAAUCAAAACCCAUUACUAACUGGCUUUUACUAAAAUCACUUCUUCACUUUCUCAAUAGUUAUAUUAAAAUGACCAACAUUCUUUAUCUGUUUAUUAAUGUUUAAAUAUUAACAAAUUUCAUUAAAUUAGCUCAACCAAAUAACGUUCUGGUACAUAAAAAUUAAUUUGAAAUAUAUAGUAAUAUGAUCCUUUUGUAGUUCAUGAGCAUAAUGAUUGGGUGUUCGCAUACAUGUGUGAGAUGUGCCACCCUCUGAACCUAGUUACAAUGUGGGGAUAUUACCUGUCUGACCUGAAAAAAAAGAAAUAUAUAUUAAUAAAGUAGUUAAUCGUUUGAGGUUUGAAAUAGACUUUCACAGAAAUUCAGUUGGAAAUUCACAGAUUGUAUGACAGAAACAAGAUCUGUAGUUUACAAUACAGAAAUCCCCUAACACAUUAUUUAUUUAGAACAGCACUGCCAGGUCACAAGUAGUGUCUAGAUAACCUGGAAAGCCAAGAAUUGGCUAGAAACCCAGUCAUGGAUAAAGCUCUGAAGUUGAAUUAAUUUAUAAAAUAGAAUGUGAUUCACUUUGAGUUAUCAAACAAACAUAAUUUAUGAGCUUCCUCUUUACCUUUGUUUUUGUUUUGUUUUUCUGGGGGUUUUUAAUCAGCUUUCAGUCUAGAGGUUGGGGGUAUAUUCUUAUCAGCUGACCAGAGACUAUAAAUAGAAUAGACAAUGGAAAGAGCCUCCAUUCAUCCAUCCAUUCAUUCAUUCAUUCAUUCUCCAGAAUUCUAGUAUAUACAAAUUUGUUUCUAAUGCCUAGAAAUUAGAAAAAAAGAAGGUCACUGCUCUGCUGGUCAAAAGGGCAAGUAAAAUAUAUUUUCUUUAAGAAGGGCAAAAAGAUAUUAACCACAGGUGAUAUAAUUAAAUUAUUUCAUUAUUUUAAAAUUGUGGUUUCCAGGCCCUACACCUACUUGUUUAGAAGCUAUGAUAUGCCAGUCACUGGCUGGUACUGAGCAGGACAGCAGGAUCCCUGCCUUCAUGGAUCUGAAAGUCUAGUGAAGCAGAAAGAGAAGUAAAUUGGUGAUUACAAGUGGUACUUAAAGUACAAAAUUCUAUGGCAUAAUAGGAAAGGGGGCCAACCCAGAAUGCAGGCAUUAGAACCUCUUUCCAGGUGAAAGAAGGGUAUCUAAGUUGAAAUCUGCAGGGUAUUGACAAAUAUUUGCUGUUAAUUAUCAAAGCAAUAAAAAGUAACAUAAUAAUAUAUAACUUUUUACAUAUUAAUACUUGCAAUUUUUUUUUUAUUCCUGUGUUCACAAGGGUUUGGGGUAGCAGGAAAUGGCCUGAUAGAGUACUGGCGAGAAUAAAAAAAUUGGUAUUAUCACUUUCAGUACAAUGUGGCAAUAUACAUCAAAAAAUAUAGAAAUAUGUGUACAUUUGACUUACCUAAAAUACCAAUUCUCAAUAUUUGCUUUAAAGAAAAAUAUAUGGACAAACUAUCUACAUUACCAUCUAAAUGUCUAACUAUAUAGUGACAAUUAAAUAACUAAUAGUACAUUCAUAUAAUGAAACAGCACUAAGUUAUUACAACAUUGGUAUAAAGAAAUAUUUAUUAACAUGUAUACAAUCAUGAUAUAUUAAGUAAAAUGAGAAGAUUACAAACAUAUGCAUAAUAGAAACCCUUUUUGGUUAAACACACACACACAGAGUUCUGGAAUGAUAUAAAAAGUGUGUUAAAUAAAGUUAUCUUUGGGUAAGAAGAUUAUACUUUCUUUUUUGGGAGGACUUUGUGUGUGCCUCUAUUACUAAUUUUUUACAUUAAAAACAUGCUGCUUUUAUAAUUCCAGAAACAAAAGUGAUGGGAUCAGGACAAAUAUAUUAAAUCAUAAAUAUUUUUAAUCCCACCCUUCUUUCAGCUCCUAAGGAGAAGCAAUAAUAAAAAAGAGGUGCCAUGUAAGAAAAGAAUCUAGAGAGGCCCACCCAGCAGGAGCACAGCUAGGUGUGGAGCUCACGGCAGAGCAGAUCACCAAAGGCUUUGCAGGCCCAGAAAGAGGAGCCUUGACUUUCAAAGAGUCAUAGGACCCUUCAUAAGCUAUUCUAAGCCUUCCACAUCCAGGGAAAGCAUUUGUUACAGAGGAACAAGGUAACAAAAGAGCUCAAGGAAAAGAGGCCUUGAGGAAGUAAAACUCUACAUUAAAGAUGAGGCUGUCCUCAACACAGCCAAAAAUGAUUUUUUAAGACAUCGUAUUAGAUUAUGUCACUCUUCCAUUCUAAUCUCUCUAACAGCUCGUCUUUCAACCACAGUGAGCCAAAUUCUUUACAUGGUCCCACAAGGUCUGACACCUGACAAUCUUUCUGACUUUUUCUUCUUCUGCGAUCCCUGUCUCUUACUGCACUCCAGACUAGCCUCCUUGCUAUUCCUCUAAUAUACCAAGCACAAUCUCACCUUGGAGUUUGUGCUGGCUGUUCCCUCAUCAAGAAUGUUGUUCCACCCACUUCCAUUUGGUUAACUUCCUCCCUGCCUUCAGAUCUUUGCUUAAAUGUCACCUUUGACAAGUCCCACUUUUACCACCACAUUUAAAGAUGCAAACGUCUUUCAUAUUAACCCCAUCCCAUACUUCCAAUUGCCCCAUCCUGCUCUAUUUUUUUUCAUAGCAUAAUCACUUUCUAUCUUCCAACUUAUUUAUUAUGUUGAUUAUUAUUUGUCUGUGUCCUUGCUACCAGGCCAGAGCUUUUUGUUUAUAUAAGCACUGACAUAUCAUAAAUAUCUAGAACAAUGCCUAGUACUCCAUUGUUCUUAAAAGAUAAUUUUCAAUAAAUAAAUGAGUGAAUAAAGCUGCAUGCUUAUUUCAUGCUUCAACUUUGAGUUAACUUAGAGUCUGGUUACCUUUAGGGAACCAUGUAAAUUAAGUAUAAGAAAAUCUAAAAUAAUUAUAAGGCCUUAGAAAGGUUCUGCUGGGGUAUUUGGAGUUAUAAUAUCAAAUAAAUAUUCAAACUGUUGUAUGCUAUCAGUGUCAUUCUUAAGCUCUCAUCUCUAAGAUCUUAUGUUGUAAAAAAUAGCUUUUAAUUUGAUAUCUAGGUUUUGGUUUCAUCACCUGUAAGAUGAGGAGAUUGCACUAAACCAUCAUUUUGAUUUCUUCUAAAGGUUUGGAAUUUCACACUUAAGAAUGUCAGGUAUUUGUCCCAGUAUUGUGGACUGAAAUAUUGCCAGUCAUAGCCCCUCACAAAAUAUGUUGACUAGCCUUUUUUGAUAUAAAACUGCCUUUAAUUCAUAUUCUCCUUUUCUGGAUUCUUCUAGAAAAC
rnacentral:lncRNA from 10 species